rnacentral:rRNA from 1 species
AACGAACGCUGGCGGCGUGCUUAACACAUGCAAGUCGAGCGGAAAGGCCCUUUCGGGGGUACUCGAGCGGCGAACGGGUGAGUAACACGUGAGUAAUCUGCCCUUCACUUUGGGAUAACGCUCGGAAACGGGUGCUAAUACCGGAUAUGACCACUCCAGGCAUCUGGUGGUGGUGGAAACUUUUUUGGGUGGGGGAUGUGCUCGCGGCCUAUCAGCUUGUUGGUGGGGUAAUGGCCUACCAAGGCUUUGACGGGUAGCCGGCCUGAGAGGGUGACCGGCCACACUGGGACUGAGACACGGCCCAGACUCCUACGGGAGGCAGCAGUGGGGAAUAUUGGACAAUGGGCGGAAGCCUGAUCCAGCAACGCCGCGUGAGGGAUGACGGCCUUCGGGUUGUAAACCUCUUUCAGCACCGACGAAGCGUGAGUGACGGUAGGUGCAGAAGAAGGACCGGCCAACUACGUGCCAGCCGCCGCCGUAAGAC